ACGUACGCUGGCGGCGUGCUUAACCCAUGCAAGUCGAACGGAAAGGCCCUGCUUUUGUGGGGUGCUCGAGUGGCGAACGGGUGAGUAACACGUGAGUAACCUGCCCUUGACUUUGGGAUAACUUCAGGAAACUGGGGCUAAUACCGGAUAGGAGCUCCUGCUGCAUGGUGGGGGUUGGAAAGUUUCGGCGGUUGGGGAUGGACUCGCGGCUUAUCAGCUUGUUGGUGGGGUAGUGGCUUACCAAGGCUUUGACGGGUAGCCGGCCUGAGAGGGUGACCGGCCACAUUGGGACUGAGAUACGGCCCAGACUCCUACGGGAGGCAGCAGUGGGGAAUAUUGCACAAUGGGCGGAAGCCUGAUGCAGCAACGCCGCGUGCGGGAUGACGGCCUUCGGGUUGUAAACCGCUUUCGCCUGUGACGAAGCGUGAGUGACGGUAAUGGGUAAAGAAGCACCGGCUAACUACGUG
rnacentral:rRNA from 1 species